AUUAUUUUAAGCUAUAUAUUAGGAGUAAAUAAAAUUUAUGAAAUUAAAAAAUUUUGGCGGUAUUUUAAGCUUAUUAGAGGAAUUUGCUCUGUGAUGGACACAACGCCUUAAUCUUACUUAAUUUAGUAAUUUAAAUCAGUUUGUAUACCACUAUAUUAAUUAUAUUGAAUAGUUAUAUUUAAUGUUUUUUUUAAAAAAAUAUAUUAAGUCAAGGUGCAUCUAAUAAUUAUGAAUGAAGUGAAUUACAUUAAUUUUAAUGUAAUUUUUUACAUGAAAAAAUUAAUUAGGAUUUAAUAGUAAAAUACUAAUAUUAUGAGUAUUUGAAUCAAGCUCUAAAAUAUGCAC
rnacentral:rRNA from 1 species